UAGUCCACGCCGUAAACGAUGUCUAUUAGGAGUCUGUGGCCUUGAGCCGUGGGUUCCAAAGCUAACGCAUUAAAUAGACCGCCUGGGGAGUACGGCCGCAAGGUUAAAACUCAAAUGAAUUGACGGGGCCCGCACAAGCGGUGGAGCAUGUGGUUUAAUUCGAUGCAACGCGAAGAACCUUACCUACCCUUGACAUCCAGAGAACUUACCAGAGAUGGUUUGGUGCCUUCGGGAACUCUGAGACAGGUGCUGCAUGGCUGUCGUCAGCUCGUGUUGUGAAAUGUUGGGUUAAGUCCCGCAACGAGCGCAACCCUUGUCCUAUGUUGCCAGCGCGUAAUGGCGGGAACUCAUGGGAGACUGCCGGUGAUAAACCGGGAGGAAGGUGGGGACGACGUCAAGUCAUCAUGGCCCUUACGAGUAGGGGCUACACACGUGCUACAAUGGGUCGGUACAAAGGGGUUGCGGAACUAGCGAUAGUAAGCCAAUCCCAUAAAGCCGGGUCGUAGUCCGGGAUCGGGA
rnacentral:rRNA from 1 species